GAUGAACGCUGGCGGCGUGCUUAACACAUGCAAGUCGAACGGAAAGGCCAGUGCUUGCACUGGUACUCGAGUGGCGAACGGGUGAGUAACACGUGGGUGAUCUGCCCUGUACUUCGGGAUAAGCUUGGGAAACUGGGUCUAAUACCGGAUAGGACAACUUUUUGGAUAUUGUUGUGGAAAGCUUUUGCGGUAUGGGAUGAGCUCGCGGCCUAUCAGCUUGUUGGUGGGGUAAUGGCCUACCAAGGCGUCGACGGGUAGCCGGCCUGAGAGGGUGUACGGCCACAUUGGGACUGAGAUGCAGGCCAGACUCCUACGGGAGGCAGCAGUGGGGAAUAUUGCACAAUGGGCGCAAGCCUGAUGCAGCGACGCCGCGUGGGGGAUGAAGGCCUUCGGGUUGUAAACUCCUUUCGCUAGGGACGAAGCUUUUUUGUGACGGUACCUGGAGAAGAAGCACCGGCUAACUACGUG
rnacentral:rRNA from 1 species